UAGUUCUGUUUCUGCCUGAGCUCUGUCCUCAUAGACUCCUGACUUGGGGUCAGUUCCUGAGCUUCUGUCCCUUGAGUCUUCCCCAUCUCUCUGUUUCCUGGAAUUUGCUUUCUUAAUGUCUAAGAUACCAGCCUGACUUCCCAGUUGCUUUGCCUUAGUGAUUUAUGACUCUUACCAUGGCAGAGUCUUCACCCAGAGCUCUUAGGGCUUCAUUUUCCUUUCUUUCUUCUUUUUCUUUCUUUUUUUGUUUGUUUGUUUUUUGUUUUUUGGAUUUUUUUUAAUGGGCUCACUAUGUAGACCAGGCUGGCUUCAAACUCCUAGAGAUCCAGUUUCCCCUGCCUCCCAUGUGCUGAGAUUAAAGGCGUGUGCCACCACAUCCAGCCUCUUGCUUGCCCUUUAUUUGUUUAAAAUGCUAUGUGUAUGGGUUUUCCCCUGCAUGUACGUUUUACACCACUUGCAUAUGUGCAUCCUGCACUGGAGGCUAGAGGAGGCCAGCCCUUGGAACUGGAGAUACAGAGGAUUGUGAUGACCAUGUGGGUGCUGGGACUUGAACAUGGGUCUUCUGGAAGAAUAGCCAGUACUCUUAGUUUCUCUCUUAUCAAAAGUAAGCGGCUGGGCCUGGUGGCACACACCUGUAAUCCCAGCCCUUGAGAGACUAGUAAACGAGUCCCAGGCCAACCUGGGAUAUGGUGCAAGAUUCCUGUCUCAAAUAAAGUAAAAUUAAAGUUUAAAAAUUAUAGGAGGAUACAGUGAUCCUUUGGUACCCACAGGAGCUCCUGGAGAUUCCAGAACCCGUAGAUGCUCAAGACUUAUAUAUAAUGUAUAGAAGUUACCUGUAAGUUGCACAUCUGCCGCAUACCUUAAGUCAUCUGCAGAUUAUGUAGCACCAACAUUUCUUGAUGCAUGGUUGGUUGAAUCUGUGGCUACAGAACCUGUUGAUAUGGAGGUCAACUAUCCAGUUGUGGGGAAAUGAGAAGAGAAAAAUUCUGCCAGCUAUUACUGCAUAUACACAAAAGUGGAAAGUGUUCAUUCUUCCAUGUAGUUGUUAGCCCUGCUGAGUCUAUGACCUACACAGUCAGAUCAGUUGUCCUGGGUAAAGGGGUUAGUCCACUUAAGGCAGCGCUUCUCAGCCUUCCUUACGCAGCAACCCUUUAGUGCAGUCCCUCAUGUUGUGGUGACCCCCAAACAUAACAUUAUUUUUUCUGCCACUUCACAGCCAUACUUUUGCUACUCUUACGAAGUGUCAUGUAAAUACUUUUGGAGAGGUUUGCCAAAUGGGUCACGACCCAUAGGCUGAGAACUGCUGGCUUAAAGGAGUUGCCGUCUUCUGGUUCCUGGAGGCCCUUGUGUCUCUGUGUGAAGGUUGAUGAAGGUUGAGCAGACAGACAGCCUUUAGAGUAGGACAGCUAUGUCCUGCUGCUCAGGAAUGCUGGCCUUGCCUUUCUUCUUUCCCAGACUGGCUUGCAUCUAGCUCCCGCUGGAUUGAGCUGGUAGCCUGCCUUAGCACAAGCCUAGAGGCUCUGCCCCAAUGAAGAGAUUCAGAUUUAGAGGGCUACCAGUGUCCACCAGGGGGCACUCUGGACUCAGCACAGCCGGACCGACACACGAGUCUCCCAGUUCUCCUCAUCUUAGAUGGUGUGGGGAGUGUGGUGAAGGCAGGCCUGGCCUGAAUCGAUGAGUGUAAGCAAAGGAAAAGCUCACCCUGGCAAGCCCGGGGCUGGGAUGCUCGAGCGGGGCCUUGCAGGAAAAGCUCUUAACCUGUUGGAAAAGCAGCAACAGAGGC
rnacentral:lncRNA from 1 species